AUGUACGUGGAGGCCCUGCAGGCCGCAGAGUCCACCAUCGCUUACUUGACCGCCUGCAGUCUGGACAGCCAGGGGCGAUUUGGGUCCAGUCCAUCUUCAGGUUCUGAUUCUGCCGUUCACAGCAGAUGCAUAGAGCUGCAAAAGGCCCUGCAGGAGAAGGAGGAGCUCAACAAGCAGCUUUUAGAGCUUCUGGACAUGGCAGGGAAAGCUAUCACCGCCACCAACAGCCAAGAAAGGAUUCCAGGAAUCAGUGAUUUAUGUUUGAAGAUAGAGGCGGCCUUGCAGGAGGUGAGCGCGUCCUCCAAAAGGGAGAGUCCGAGAGGUGGUUCCGGUAGCACAGAGGGCUCGAUGCAGGAGCUGCAGCGACACAGCGACUCUUUGCAGGAGGCGCUGUGGCAGCAGAAUAGGCUUAAUGCGGAGCUGCAGGAAAAACUCAGGGCUACAGAUGCUGUCGCUCAACACGUCUACAGCAAUGACCAGGAGGGUGAACGGUCGAGGCCGAUAGCGGAAGGGUCACUUCAGGAAAGGGAAGCACUGGACAGUGAAGGUGGAACGGGUAGUUAUAUAAACCAGGAGAUUACCACGGUUCUGAUGAACUGCCUCGGCUCCGCAGAGUCGGCCGUUUCUUCUCUGACGGCACACUGUACGAACACCAGCUGCCGGGCUUCUGAUCGAUCAUCACAGACCAAUCUGGAGUUCCAGAUGAAUUUAGACAAACUUCAGAGAGCCCUGCAAGAGAGGCGGGAUCUGGGAGAAGCAGCUAAACCCGGUGGCAAUCUGUCAUCGGACGGGCAACUUCCCCAAGGGCUCCACGGCAACCUGUGCCGCCUCUACAAGGUCUUCAACGAUCACCACCAGAGGAUCUGUGACCUCCAGGCCUCCCUGCAAGAAGACCGGGGCCGCAGGGAGGAGAGUGAGGUCCAGCCGACAGCGCAGGAUGCCAUGGGAUUACCACCCAGUGUCCAGGUUGAACUGGAGACCCUCCAUAAGGCGCUGAGGGAGAAGAGGAAAACGUGUAAAAGCCUGGAGGAGAAACUGGCCACGGCUCUAACCUCCCCUGAAACCGCGCGGAAAGGUGAGCGCGCAUGCUGA
ensembl:lncRNA